rnacentral:misc_RNA from 1 species
GAUCAUUACCGAGUUUACAACUCCCAAACCCAUGUGAACAUACCUUUACGUUGCUUCGGCGGAGCCGCCCCGGCGCCCGGAACCUCUUCGGUUUCGCGGCCCGGAACCAGGCGCCCGCCGGAGGCCACAAACUCUUUUGUUUUUACAGUUUCUUCUGAGUGUGCCGCAAGGCAAAAUACAAAUGAAUCAAAACUUUCAACAACGGAUCUCUUGGUUCUGGCAUCGAUGAAGAACGCAGCGAAAUGCGAUAAGUAAUGUGAAUUGCAGAAUUCAGUGAAUCAUCGAAUCUUUGAACGCACAUUGCGCCCGCCAGAAUUCUGGCGGGCAUGCCUGUUCGAGCGUCAUUUCAACCCUCGAGCUCCCCUCUUUUUGGGAGAGCCCGGCGUUGGGGACCCGGCGCUAACACCGCCGGCCCCGAAAUGGAGUGGCGGCCCGUCCGCGGCGACCUCUGCGUAGUAAUAUCCACUCGCACCGGGACCCGGGCGCGGCCACGCCGUUAAACACCCCACCUUCCGAAUGUUGACCUCGAAUCAGGUAGGAAUACCCGCUGAACUUAAGCAUAUCAAUAA